rnacentral:rRNA from 1 species
AUACGGAGGGGGCUAGCGUUGUUCGGAAUUACUGGGCGUAAAGGGCGCGUAGGCGGACAAUCAAGUCAGAGGUGAAAGGCCUGGGCUCAACCCGGGAACUGCCUUUGAAACUGAAGGUCUAGAGUCCGAGAGAGGAUAGCGGAAUUCCCAGUGUAGAGGUGAAAUUCGUAGAUAUUGGGAAGAACACCAGUGGCGAAGGCGGCUCUCUGGCUCGGUUCUGACGCUGAGGUGCGAAAGCGUGGGGAGCAAACAGGAUUAGAUACCCUAGUAGUCC